AAUAAACUUAUGGCCAAUACAAAAUAGGAAAAAGCGUCUCCUAAAUGUCAAAUACUAGCAUUGUGAUCUUUGUACUAUAUCAAAGUUCAACUAUAAAUGCAACUUGCUAGAACUGAUUUUUGUGUUUCUUCUUGUGUGGUGAAAGUAAGGAUUAGCCAGAGGGAAUUCAUUAGACUUUGUUUUUAUGCACCGGCUGCAUAUGAUGUUUUCAAAAGAGCAGUUUUAUUGUUCUGCGAUUAUUUGUAGUUUGCCACCAUCAAAUAUAUCUGUUAGACAACUGUGUUGAACUUAUGACACGGAUAGCAAAUCAAUACAAUAUGUAGUUUUCUUUUCCUGAAACAAAGGAACUAUGAUGCUACGGCAAUGUUCAAGAAAAUAAAGACUCAAUUUACCACCAUCAAAUCUAACCGUUAGAUAAACAUAAUUGAACUUAGAAAAGUUUGUAUGAGCAAUUAAGCAUGAGUCCGCCAAGCAUCUACUUUCACAGGAAACGGAAAGCAUAUUAACCUUUUCAGACAAAAGAAAUUGUGAUGACAAUGGAGGCAAUAAAGACUCACUUUGAACUAAUAAUAAACACAAUUUAAGGACAGGUGAAUUUUUGCAGAAAUAGGUGACAAGAGGGGUUGCUCUGAUUGUAAGCAACCCCCACUUCCAAUCAAGAGGUUGUGAGUUCGAGUCUCCCCAACAGCAAGGUGGGAAGUUCUUGGAGGGAAGGAUGCUGGGGUCUAUUUGGAAACAGUCUCUCUACCCAAGGGUAGGGGUAAGGUCUGCGUACACACUACCCUCCCAACUAAUAAUAAACACAAUUUAAGGACAGGUGAAUUUUUGCAGAAAUAGGUGACAAGAGGGGUUGCUCUGAUUGUAAGCAACCCCCACUUCCAAUCAAGAGGUUGUGAGUUCGAGUCUCCCCAACAGCAAGGUGGGAAGUUCUUGGAGGGAAGGAUGCUGGGGUCUAUUUGGAAACAGUCUCUCUACCCUUAGGGGUAAGGUCUGUGUACACACUACUCUCCCCAGACCCCACUAAAUGGGAUUAUACUGGGUUGUUGUUGUUGUUGUUGAGCAUAACCAAUCUCAAAAUCCGGACAAAGAAGGAGGGUUGCGUAAAAAUACUUAAAUUACGACGACUCCUCUGAACAUAAAGUAUUCAUGCAGCCAACCCUCAACUAGUUUGAGAUUAAGGAUUGGUUAAAUUAAGAGACAGAAGGAUCUUAAUAACAACAGCUAAAAAGGGAGAUCAUUACAACUUAUAAAAUAAGCAACAUUAAACAUAACCAAAACAUUCCAAUUAAAUCAAUUAACAAGAUGCCUCCAAUGCCACUAAAAAAUGUAGAGAACUUCCGGUUCUAGAAAAAAUAAUCUUUUAUAAAAAUGGACCAAAACGGGCUUAAAUAGAGUGACAUGGAUUGUGAGUAUUCAUUCAUAUAGCAAACACCAAUUUUCUUGGGAUUGAGGCAUGAAGGGGAGUUUUAGCGUAACUGGUAAAGUUGAUGUCAUGUGACUAUAAAGUCAUGGUUUCGAACCCUAGAAAUAACCUCUUAUAGAAAUGUAGGGUAAGGGUGCAUAUGAUAGACCCUUGUUGUCCGGCUCUUUCCCGACCCCGCGCAUAGCGGGAGCUUAGUGCAUUGGGCUGCCCUUUUUAGGCAUAAAUACAAGCAACUGCACAUAGAAAGUGGAAUCAACAACAUAGAAAAUAAGGCUGGCGCCUAUAUUGGGACCUGACUAAAUCCGGAUUCGCGCCGGAAAAUCCUACUUUGGGAUAAAGCGCUCCCUAACAAAAGACUUCAUACCUAGGGACUCGAACCCGAGUCCUCUUGUUAAGGACCACUCCACCCCAACCCUUGUUGGUAAGGCGAGCGACUUGCUAAAGCAAGUUAAAUUUCACUGUCUAAAAAAAUUUUAUGACAUUA
rnacentral:lncRNA from 1 species